GUACUUGUUGGUGCUUGUAAAGCCAUUAUAUAUAAGCUAUAUAUAGAUCAUGAUAUUUCAUUGACCUUCAUGGCGAUAAACAACUUUGUAAUAAAGCAAUAAAUUCAUAUUAUAAAAAUAUAGGAUGCCAUUUUGAAAGCGUGCACAGUGCGAACAAGAAACACUGCGUCUUUUAAUUGGCAACACUAAAACAUUCAGUAACCUCGUAUAAACUUAACUAUAGCUGACAAGCAGCGACAACAGAUUAAUUUCAGAAUACUUAAACUGAUAUUUAGAUAUUCUGUUUUACUUCGUUGAAAAUUAAUUUUUACUACAACAAUGAUUCGGCCGAGGCUACAGGCUCAUUUGCACAUUGCAUGAUUAUGGUGAAUGUUGACCGAUACUCGAUAGCACUUCGCCCUUGGCAAAUGAUUGUUAAUUAUGAAAUAACAAUAUAAUCUUCACCAUCACAUAUAUCAGCAUUGCUUAAACUGUUAAACUGCUUAAAUACAGUUCUCUUUCUCUUCGCUUUGACUUUAGUGUUGCAAGAAUACGAAUACCAGUUGAAUAUAUAUAGCUUCUUUAUGCAUGACCACCUAGUCAUCUUGUAUAUGGCUUAGUCUGACCAUGCACAUGCAUUUUCCCUCGAUAUUUUGUUUGUACAGACACAAUAUUUUUGCAAUGCGAGAAACAAAACGCGUGCGUAACAAGUUUUCGGUCCGCGGACCCAUUUUUAAGCGGGCCGAGACUACCUCCUGAGGAGGUCUCGGCCCGCUUAAAAUUUUGGGCCCGCGGACCCUUAAUUUUGCGUUUACACGACAAAAAUUAAGAGUGCCGUGCCCAAAAAAAUGGGUCUGCGUGCCAAAAUUUAAGCGUGCCGUGCCCAAAAUAACUGUCGUGUAAACGGGGCUU